rnacentral:rRNA from 1 species
CCUGACUGCUAUCGGAUUGGUACUAAGCCAUGCGAGUCGUUGUAGCAAUACAAGGCGGACGGCUCAGUAACACGUAGUCAACCUAACCUAUGGACGUGGAUAACCUCGGGAAACUGAGAAUAAACCGCGAUAGAUCAUUAUGCCUGGAAUGGCUUAUGGUUUAAACAAUUUAUUGCCGUAGGAUGGGACUGCGGCCUAUCAGCUUGUUGGUGAGGUAAUGGCCCACCAAGGCGAUUACAGGUACGGGCUCUGAGAGGAGAAGCUCGGAGAUGGGUACUGAGACACGGACCCAGGCCCUAUGGGGCGCAGCAGGCGAGAAACCUUAGCAAUGUGCGAAAGCACGACUGGGUCAGUCCGAGUGAUUCCUGAUAAAGGAGUCUUUUGCUUGUCCUAAAAACACAGGUGAAUAAGGGGUGGGCAAGUCUGGUGUCAGCCGCCGCGGUAAUACCAGCACCUCGAGUGGUCAGGACGUUUAUUGGGCCUAAAGCAUCCGUAGCCGGCUUUGCAAGUCUUCGGUUAAAUCCACCUGCUCAACAGAUGGGCCGCUGGAGAUACUACAGAGCUAGGGAGUGGGAGAGGCAGACGGUAUUCAGUGGGUAGGGGUAAAAUCCUCUGAUCCAUUGAGGACCACCAGUGGCGAAGGCGGUCUGCCAGAACACGUUCGACGGUGAGGGAUGAAAGCUGGGGGAGCAAACCGGAUUAGAUACCCGGGUAGUCCCAGCUGUAAACGAUGCAAACUCGGUGAUGCAUUGGCUUAUGGCCAAUGCAGUGCCGCAGGGAAGCCGUUAAGUUUGCCGCCUGGGAAGUACGGACGCAAGUCUGAAACUUAAAGGAAUUGGCGGGGGAGCACCACAAGGGGUGAAGCCUGCGGUUCA